GAUACACUAUCUUGUUUGCAUUCGUUUCCUUAAUUCCAGUGCUUUGUUUGAAGGAAAUUAUAAUAGAGAAAAGAAGAUAAAAACGACAUGAGAUACCCAAGUUGCCGCCUUGGGUUCUAUUAUUUAGGAGGACUUGAUUAUGUAACGCGGAUGAAUGACAACAACAACGGGACUUUACUUGCUCUCGAAGUGUUAAUGGUCUGGGAGGGACAAGAGGAGGCUGAGUGAGACAGGCAGCGAGGACUGGCUGGCUGUCUGACCGGCUGUCUGGUCUGGUGAACGUUUGGUCGGCUCGCUCUGUUGGCAACCCUCUUUAGAAAGCAGCAACGCAGCCAUUAUCAUGCAAGUGGCGGUGUUCGUCCACUGAGUACGUAUCUUGGUGUGAGAGGCAGCAGAAGAGGAGUUUGAGGGAAGCGAGGAGGGUCAGCAGCGGCCCGAGUCUCGAUCGCCGGACCAGACCGACACACAUUCCAUCUGUUUGAUAUUAAAACGACGUCAAAGAUUGUGGUCCACGAAGGAUUAGGCGCACAUUGCAUGACCCGCUGAUAACGGUGGGCCGCCUUCAAGACUGCAGCAACCAAUCGGCGGGUUCUGGAGUGUGGCAGCGGACCAAUCAGCGGGGCUGCAUAAAUGAAAUCACUUCGGCAGCCGCGCUACCGGCAGGGUUGGCGGGCGGGUCGGUCAGGAGACUUGACUUAAUGCUCUACGUACCUAGUAGCUGGCGCCAUCUGUCUCAUCUCGCAACAACUUCCCUGCCGCGCGCCCUCCCACGCUACGAUCACUUCCCCCCUCCCCCUUCCUAUUGGGCUCUUGGCGCCCCUUCCACGACGGUGAUACUCUGAGCAAAAAGUCAACGCCUCCUUAGCUCGGAGGCAUGAUUGUGCGAGUAAAUGUCUUGCGUGGGUCUCACCGACCAGCAGUAACUGAUGCUCAGCGACUAGGCAGGGAUAAUGGGCCUCCAUCAGUCAGUGCCAGUUAGUGUGUAAAAAUGCCAUUAGCCACAAUUUUCUGGCGAUUUGGCAGCCUUGAGACCAGAGAGGCGCGACGGCAGCAGCAACAGCUGCCCUUGCGAGGAGCGAUAGUUGUGCCUCAUUUAGCAGAUGAAAAUAUGACCCUGUUUCUUGCCGCUGCGAGGACAAGCGAGGCCAGGUGGCGUGGCAGUCCCGAGACUCACUGCUUUGGGACUAAGCUCCUUGUGCAAAUGUAUGAUCAUAUACGUAUAUGAAUAU